AAUAACGGCCGUUACGUUAUAUUUAUUGGUUUUAAAGGAGGCCGUUACCCGUUAAGCCGUUAUUUACAGGCCUAUUUUGAUUUGCUUAAUAACGUCGUUGCCAUUGUUAAGGUAACGGCCUUUAAAUAACAAUAACGAUUGUUACCAAUGUGGCAGAAUUUGAGGGCUGGUGGGGGGCAGAAAUCACAUGAUUUUAUCAGUCUAAAAAUCACCUAAUUUGAGUCCAAAAUAACAAAGAAUAAUUCAGAGUAAUAAUUUAGUCCAAACUUCACAAUUACAAGAAGGUGGUGGAGGUGGUGGCGAAGGUGGUGGAGUGCCUGGUGGCGAAGCUCCAUUUCCAGAAUGACCACAGACAUAUCGACAUCGUAGAUCACGGGGUUCUAGUGGUGCUGAAUUAUCACCAUCAAAGGGCAAAAGUGUUCAACACAGAGUGUUCUUUUGAUUUUGAAUCUAGCUAUGGGUAUGGUCAUGGUGGAAAUAUAAUACAUGGAAGCUCAUCAUCUACAUCUAUUAGUGAUUAUGGAUAUGGACAUGGACAUGGACAUGGACAAGCACACUCAAAUCCAUAUCAAUAUAAUUAUCCCCCUCCUAUGUAUUCAGAGCAAUCAUACUUUCCACAACCCGCUAAUCCAGUUGAUUUCUUAUUUAGUUUCAAUCCAUCACACUAUUAUUAAUUGAGUCAAUAUCAACAAAGUGAGGAUCAAAGCUCUCAAAGUCAGAACCA
rnacentral:misc_RNA from 1 species